CAGAUUUGGUCUCUGGAAGCAAAGUUCUGUGACACUCGGACUCUGAUUAUGAUAGAAGUCAGUGCACUACAGAACUUUGUCGCCGGGGGCCGU
ensembl:miRNA aca-mir-148a aca-mir-148a